rnacentral:rRNA from 1 species
UACGUAGGGGGCGAGCGUUGUCCGGAUUUAUUGGGCGUAAAGAGCGUGUAGGCGGCCAGGUAGGUCUGCUGUGAAAACUCGAGGCUCAACCUCGAGACGUCGGCGGAAACCAUCUGGCUCGAGUCCGGAAGAGGAGAGUGGAAUUCCUGGUGUAGCGGUGAAAUGCGCAGAUAUCAGGAAGAACACCCGUGGCUAAGGCGGCUCUCUAGUACGGUACUGACGCUGAGACGCGAAAGCGUGGGGAGCGAACAGG